rnacentral:rRNA from 1 species
AUGAACGCUAGCGGCAGGCUAAUACAUGCAAGUUGAGGGGCAGCAUGGAUAUACGCGAGUUAUUGGAUGGCGACCGGCGGACGGGUGAGUAAUAGGUAGGAGACCUACCUCAUACAGGGGGAUAGCAUAGAGAAAUCUGUGGUAAUACCCCCAUGAGGUUAUAUGAAUAGAGGCAUAUAAUCAAAGCAUAAGCGAUUAUGCGGUAUGAGAGGGGCCUACUGACCAUUAGCUAGUUGGUGAGGUAAGGGCUCACCAAGGCGAAGAUGGUUAGGGGUUUUGAGAGAGAGACCCCCCACAUUGGAACUGAGAGACGGUCCAGACUCCUACGGGAGGCAGCAGUAGGGAAUAUUGGGCAAUGGGCGAAAGCCUGACCCAGCCAUGCCGCGUGAAGGAAGACGGCCUUAUGGGUUGUAAACUUCUUUACUACGCGAAUAGAGGUUAGUACGAGAUACUAAUAGGAAGGUAGUGUAGUAAAAAGCACCGGCUAACUCCGUG